rnacentral:misc_RNA from 1 species
UUUCCGUAGGUGAACCUGCGGAAGGAUCAUUAAAGAGUAUGGGUCCUUUUGGGCCCGAACUCCCACCCUUUGUUGUCGCGAAUUUGUUGCCUCGGCGGGUUGUCCCUUCGGGGAUGACGGGUCACGGCCUACCCGCCGCAGGACACUUCAAACCCUGCUUUAACCAUGCAGUCGGAGAAGAUUUACAAAUGAAUCAAAACUUUCAACAACGGAUCUCUUGGUUCUG